rnacentral:tRNA from 1 species
UACAUAAUGGUGUAAGUGCACAUAAACUUUUGGAAUUAAGGGGAAAAUUCAUAUUUUCUUUUGUAU